UACGGGAGGCAGCAGUGGGGAAUAUUGCACAAUGGGCGCAAGCCUGAUGCAGCCAUGCCGCGUGUAUGAAAAGGCCUUCGGGUUGUAAAGUACUUUUAGUCGUGAGGAAGGUGUUAAGGUUAAUAACCUUAGCAAUUGACGUUAGCGACAGAAGAAGCACCGGCUAACUCCGUGCCAGCAGCCGCGGUAAUACGGAGGGUGCGAGCGUUAAUCGGAAUUACUGGGCGUAAAGGGCACGCAGGCGGUUAAUUAAGUUGGAUGUGAAAUCCCCGGGCUUAACCUGGGAAUGGCAUUCAAGACUGGUUAGCUAGAGUCUUGUAGAGGGGGUAGAAUUCCAUGUGUAGCGGUGAAAUGCGUAGAGAUGUGGAGGAAUACCGGUGGCGAAGGCGGCCCCUGGACAAAGACUGACGCUCAUGUGCGAAAGCGUGGGGAGCGAAACAGGGAUUAGAUACC
rnacentral:rRNA from 1 species